rnacentral:rRNA from 1 species
GACGAACGCUGGCGGCGUGCUUAACACAUGCAAGUCGAACGGAAAGGCCCUGCUUGCAGGGUACUCGAGUGGCGAACGGGUGAGUAACACGUGGGUGAUCUGCCCUGCACUUCGGGAUAAGCCUGGGAAACUGGGUCUAAUACCGGAUAGGAGCCAUUUUUAGUGUGAUGGUUGGAAAGUUUUUUCGGUGUAGGAUGAGCUCGCGGCCUAUCAGCUUGUUGGUGGGGUAAUGGCCUACCAAGGCGGCGACGGGUAGCCGGCCUGAGAGGGUGGACGGCCACAUUGGGACUGAGAUAAGGCCCAGACUCCGACGGGAGGCAGCAGUGGGGAAUAUUGCACAAUGGGCGCAAGCCGGAUGCAGCGACGCCGCGUGGGGGAUGACGGCCUUCGGGUUGUAAACUCCUUUCGCUAGGGACGAAGCUUUUUGUGACGGUACCUAGAUAAGAAGCACCGGCUAACUACGUG